GACGAACGCUGGCGGCGUGCCUAACACAUGCAAGUCGAGCGAGUGAAUCUCCUUCGGGAGUGAAGCUAGCGGCGGACGGGUGAGUAACACGUGGGCAACCUGCCUCAUAGAGGGGAAUAGCCUUUCGAAAGGAAGAUUAAUACCGCAUAAGAUUGUAGCUUCGCAUGAAGUAGCAAUUAAAGGAGCAAUCCGCUAUGAGAUGGGCCCGCGGCGCAUUAGCUAGUGGUGAGGUAACGGCGUCACCAAGGCGACGAUGCGUAGCCGACCUGAGAGGGUGAUCGGCCACAUUGGGACUGAGACACGGCCCAGACUCCUACGGGAGGCAGCAGUGGGGAAUAUUGCACAAUGGAGGAAACUCUGAUGCAGCGAUGCCGCGUGAGGGAA
rnacentral:rRNA from 1 species